rnacentral:sRNA from 1 species
AUGGCGGCAGUGAGCGGAGUCCGCUGGCUGACCCGAGCGCUGGUCUCCGCCGGGAACCCUGGGGCAUGGAGAGGUCUGAGUACCUCGGCCGCGGCGCACGCUGCAUCGCGGAGCCAGGCCGAGGACGUGAGGGUGGAGGGCUCCUUUCCCGUGACCAUGCUUCCGGGAGACGGUGUGGGGCCUGAGCUGAUGCACGCCGUCAAGGAGGUGUUCAAGGCUGCCGCUGUCCCAGUGGAGUUCCAGGAGCACCACCUGAGUGAGGUGCAGAAUAUGGCAUCUGAGGAGAAGCUGGAGCAGGUGCUGAGUUCCAUGAAGGAGAACAAAGUGGCCAUCAUUGGAAAGAUUCAUACCCCGAUGGAGUAUAAGGGGGAGCUAGCCUCCUAUGAUAUGCGGCUGAGGUAGGUGGUCUGGGUGGAGUGAAUGGUUGAGAGGUGCCAGGGCACCAGGAGCAGAGCUGAUGGCCCUGCCCACCCUCAGGCGUAAGUUGGACUUAUUUGCCAACGUAGUCCAUGUGAAGUCACUUCCUGGGUAUAUGACUCGGCACAACAAUCUAGACCUGGUGAUCAUUCGAGAGCAGACAGAAGGGGAGUACAGCUCUCUGGAACAUGAGGUGAGGCCCCAGAAACUGGGGGAGGGCAAGGAUGAAGAUGGGAGAGAGAUGGAGCUCCUUGUUUCCCUUCCCAGUGUCACCUAGCUGCUGCUCUCUUCUUACCCAGAGUGCAAGGGGUGUGAUUGAGUGUUUGAAGAUUGUCACACGAGCCAAGUCUCAGCGGAUUGCAAAGUUCGCCUUUGACUAUGCCACCAAGAAGGGGCGGAGCAAGGUCAUUGCUGUCCACAAGGCCAACAUCAUGAAACUUGGGGAUGGGUUGUUCCUGCAGUGCUGUGAGGAAGUUGCUGAACUGUACCCCAAAAUCAAAUUUGAGACAAUGAUCAUAGACAACUGCUGCAUGCAGCUGGUGCAGAAUCCUUACCAGUUUGAUGUGCUUGUGAUGCCCAAUCUCUAUGGGAAUAUUAUUGACAAUCUGGCUGCUGGCCUGGUUGGGGGAGCUGGUGUGGUCCCUGGUGAGAGCUAUAGUGCAGAAUACGCAGUCUUUGAGACGGGUGCCCGGCACCCAUUUGCCCAGGCAGUGGGCAGGAAUAUAGCCAAUCCCACGGCCAUGCUGCUAUCGGCUUCCAACAUGCUGCGGCAUCUUAAUCUUGAGUAUCACUCCAGCAUGAUUGCAGAUGCGGUGAAGAAGGUGAUCAAAGUUGGCAAGGUGCGGACUCGAGACAUGGGCGGCUACAGCACCACAACCGACUUCAUCAAGUCUGUCAUCGGUCACCUGCACCCCCAUGGGAGCUAGAGCCCUUUAUUUCUUCCAACCUUGGAAGGACCACACUCCCCAUACCCUUCAGUGCAGUGCACCAGGGAAGAGACCUUGUGCCUCUAGGCAGUAGACCAUGGUCACCUUGCUGGGUAGAGCCUAGGUUGUCCUUGGGCCGGCUUCCUUAGGGUACAGACUGUUGGGUGGUGAUGGGGAUUGUUAGGAUGGAGCCCAGGCUACAUGGAUGAUGAUGAUUCUCCCCACAGGUUCGAACCUCUGACAUGGGUGGCUAUGCUACUUGCCAUGACUUCACUGAGGCUGUCAUUGCUGCCUUGCCCCACCCAUAGGCCCUGUCCAUAUCCAUGUAAGGUGUUCAAUAAAGAACAUGAACCAA